ACAGCUGCUUGAUAGAGUUACAUCAUAAUCUACUGAAAUGUUUGUCUCAAUGAUUGAGGCAGUGGAAGAUGAAUGUGUGGAAACGGGUGUGUUUACAUAGAUGAAGAGACCAUCAUUCACUGUUACAGGCAAAUACAAAUUGCCAGUCCUUUGACUGACAGGUUUUUUGUUGGACUGGAGAAGCAGCACAUGAGCAAAAGCUUUAUUUCCAUUCCAAACUCCAAACACGGACAACAGAGCUUGUUCAGUAUAUGAGCAUUCUUUUCAUGAAACAAAUUAAAUGUCAUUCAUGUGAGUGAACACUCUUUCUUCAGUCUCCAGGGACGGUGACAGUGGGGCUCUGCUGUCUGAAACUGACUUACCUUCAAAACAAGAAAGCCCUGAAGAGCUGCACCUUGGGGACCGCUGUCAAGUGAUCUCUGACACUUCAUUCCCUCUCUACACAAGAACCCUCUCUGACAGACACAAGCAGGGAAGAACUCAACUGCAGCUUAUUGCUGGAGUCUAAGCAAAGUUCAGCACAGAAGAGAAGACCUGAUAGAGCUGCAAGUGCUGUAACAUGUAAAAGGUCUUCGGUGAGAUCAACUGAGGAAUUUCUUUGACUUCCUGUAUCCUGUGAUAAGUCCUCAAACCACUGAAGCCUAUAAUGACUCCAUUACCGAGACCCCCGCCAGACUGUGUGUGUGUGUGAGAGAGAGACUGAGAGAGAAAAUAUAAUGUGUGUGUGUGUAUCCCAUUAUCAAGUGUAAUCAUUUUGCAGUCAAGCUGGUAAUGAGGUGUAAUAUUGCCCAACAUGAUAACAUAUACACACAAACACCUCCCACACUUUAAAUUCACACCAAAACAUAUAUUUAAAUAUACACCGACUUGC